rnacentral:rRNA from 1 species
UAGGGAAUCUUCCACAAUGGACGCAAGUCUGAUGGAGCAACGCCGCGUGAGUGAAGAAGGUUUUCGGAUCGUAAAGCUCUGUUGUUGGUGAAGAAGGAUAGAGGCAGUAACUGGUCUUUAUUUGACGGUAAUCAACCAGAAAGUCACGGCUAACUACGUGCCAGCAGCCGCGGUAAUACGUAGGUGGCAAGCGUUGUCCGGAUUUAUUGGGCGUAAAGCGAGCGCAGGCGGAAUGAUAAGUCUGAUGUGAAAGCCCACGGCUCAACCGUGGAACUGCAUCGGAAACUGUCAUUCUUGAGUGCAGAAGAGGAGAGUGGAAUUCCAUGUGUAGCGGGGGAAUGCGUAGAUAUAUGGAAGAACACCAGUGGCGAAGGCGGCUCUCUGGUCUGCAACUGACGCUGAGGCUCGAAAGCAUGGGUAGCGAACAGG